rnacentral:piRNA from 1 species
CACAGGGUGGUCCUCAUGAGGAUAACAUG